CGUUCUUCUUCCGAGAAAAGAGAGAGAGAGAAAGAGAGAGAAAGAGAGAGAAAUAGAGAAAGAGAGUUCUGCGGCGACGAGACCAGGGAGAAUCCACUCUGAGUUUUAAGGACGACGAGACCAGAGAGAAGAGAGAGAUAGAGCGAGCCGUGUUUUGUUUUCGAGUCUCGUCCGUGGAUGGUUUCAAUUUCAAGAAGACAGUGAUGGUCUUCGUCUAACCCUAAUCAAUCAAUUACGUCUUCCUUGUCACAGAGUUUGAAGAUGAUGAUGACCCAACAGGUUUGAAGAUGCAUAUUCUAAUUCUUAUGAGAGAAAUCGUCUUAAAGUGUUUUCAAGUCUCGUACGUGGAUGGUUUCAAGAAGACGCAAUCGGGCAAUCUGAUUCUUCUAGUCUUUGACAGUCCCCCUCCCCGGAACAAUCAAUUACGUCUUCCUUGUCACAAAAUAAUUAUUACAUAUAUUUGGUUUAUUUUCUUCGCGGGUUUGGAGAUGAUGAUGAUGCAUAUGCCUUAUGACCCAACAUGCAACAGUACUUGGUGGACUGAGAGAGGUGACUGGAUGUACUCCGGGAAACCUCAUUGACUGAGAGAGGUUUUGGAUGCUUCUCUCUUAUAGAUGAGACUAUGAGAGUAAUGGCUUUGAUGGACACGCUUCUUCUUCUCUGCUAACGUCUUCUAGGAAGCAAACCAUGAUCAAAUCAUCACGUAUUACUAAUCCAUGCUAUAUUGUCUUCAAGCGUUCUCACAGGUGGCUUUCUCCAUUGUGAUUUAUCUGAGCCCGUCGUCGCCCAAGCACUGUCUCAAAUCAGACACGCCUUCAAUGAUUGAUUUAUUUGACUCUACUUUGCUCUCUCAUAUUAAUUUUCACUUUGUUUUUUUUGUUGAUUUUAGGUUUCUGGAGGAUAUUAUAUUACGAUUGAUCGGUGAUUUGCUCUUUUUGAUUGUGUCGUUGUCAAGCGUGCGUCUUCUCUUUUGUUUGAUCGUGGUGGUGGUCCUUGCACUGUGGGAUUGCUCUUGUUGAAUCUUAUCUCCUCGUCUUGUCUGAGCUCCUCUGAUGUGGUUUAAUCAUUCAGACCAUCGAGACACCGAGAUUAAUGUAUUGGAGGGUUUGAAGAGAAGAAAAAACAUUGUAAAAGUGAAUGGUUUGCAUUGUGGAGGAUACUUUUCUCAGUGGGUGAUGGUUCUGAUGGAUCCUUGUCUUCUCUGAGCUACAUAUUCAGAGCAUCGAAAUUAAUGUGUGUGAGGGUUUGAAGAGAAGAAAGAAAAUUGUGAAAGUGAAUGGUUUGCGUUUGAAGCUACAACCAUACAAGGAGAUUGUGUCUGCUGCCUUGUUUGGAUGCUCAGGAUGCAAGCAAGGCUAUUGGUGGUGGGAUGAGAGGUAUGACUGGAUUGCUAUGAGAAACCUCAUUGCUUGAUCCAUAUGAGGGUAUACACUUUGAGAGGGGGCUUGUCUCGUGUUUGAUGAUAAUAGAUUGGUUAUCUGAUCUACGUAACCAGGGACAACAAUCUUGCUCAGCAAUUCAGAUAGGCUUCAAAUGCAGAGCUCUACCGACCUGGUAUGCUUGAAAAUAAUGUUUUUUGUUGGAGCAAUAUUGCACUUUGGCCAGAAAACCAAUCAUCAGAAACGUGUGAAAAGGGAAACGAGUAUUGUUCUGACCACCUGCUUCAAGAUCCUUCAUUUGAAUUAACUCACGACUCCUGCCAAUGGCUUUGAUCAUUUCGAAUCACUUUCAUUUUUUAAUUUGAAUCAGAAUCUUUGAUCAUUUCGUUUCUGCUGAUUUGGUGCAUCUCUUUGCAGAUGCUUGACUACAAUGUACACGGCGGUGAGAGGAGCCUCUCUCAGACAUUUCAUCCAAACUUAAUCAACUCACAUCAAACACUUGUGUGUUCUGUUUUUUCAUUUUUCUGCAGGGAUGCUCAAUCGUGGUCUCUCCAUGGUUGAUAGCUACAAGCUGUUGAAGCAUGCCAAGACUUGACCGAUAAAGAAACUUUUCAUUUUAUGUGCUCUCAGGUGGUGCAUUGAAUGGGUAAUUCCCUUCUUCGUUUGUUCAGGUGUUUCCUCCUCUUUCAUUUUGGUGUUGGAGUCCAGGAAUAAGAGAACCGUAGCAUCUCCAUCUUCAGCUUCAGUUUCCUCUACAGCGUAAGGCAUAGAAGAAGUCCAUGACAAAAGACAAAGAACACUAAAGAUGCUGCUGCAAGCCUGGGAAAUUUCCACGAUGAUAAGUUAGUAGAGAUUAUAAACACAACAAUAAUGGAUAGAAGCCCAUCUAUGAAAUGGGAUGACGUUGCUGGACUUGAUGGAGCUACACAAGCUAUUUUACCAGCGAAAUGAAGAGAUAGACCGUUUGUAAUUUGUAUUGCAUGCUAAUCACGGCAGGCCAUAACUUGAACCAUUGAUAUGGCCAUGGUGUUGUAAAACGGAUCCAAGAUAUGUAUGCCAUAGAGAGUUUGCCCUGAAGCAUCUACCUUAUGAUUCUCUUUUUCAGCUGUUCGAUACCGUCCUGACUAGGGUAACCCCUGGUGAUAUUCUUUCUGAUCUCGCGGCUGGAAGUUGUCUCAACUGCCAAAAGUGUGCUUCAGCAAGCUGGAACUUUGGAAGGAGUGGAGUUUAGCUUUCAGGAGAUUCCCUUUCCGGACGAGACCAUCUCAGCUGCAAAAGAAUUCUUGGAGCCAUUGGAGGCUAUGUCUUCUCUCUUGUCUCAACUUAUGUUGUUGGCUCUAAAUGGUUUUUGGGAAAUACAGUUUCUCAUAGAUUCUUGUUUGGUAUAGUUUAAGGUACUAAUGGGAUAACAGUGUAAUGCAUCUGAGGCCUGAGAAGGGGUUACUUUAGCUUCAUGAAGGUCUCAAAGUCUUUGCAAAACUGAGACCUGCUAAGUUUCUGCCACAAGUUAAUAAAGAGAGAGGUAGAAGAAGGUGUUGAUCUAAUGGUUAUGAAAGAGCUUACAGGAUGUCAUUUUAAUUAGUUUAUCUGUUCGUAAUUCUUAUCUUUCUCGUUCUGUAAUGGGACAGUAUCUUUAUAUAUGAUGUCUCAUGCAUGGUAACAUGUAUUUAUUUU